rnacentral:lncRNA from 1 species
GGACUGUCCACUUACCUCCAUGAGGCUGCCAUUUCUGAAAGAGACAUUGGAACUCCAUUUUGGGGAUGGCCUUCACAGCUUACCACCUAUUUCUCUGAAUAUUCUCAGCGCUACCAAAUCUUUAUCAUUGGAGACCAGUCUUAACUUCUGAGAUGACCCAAAUAUUUGGAGCCAAGUUUGUUGAUUAAGUAAGUUUUCAUCCUCGACAUUCUUUUGCCCACCUUAUGAGACCAAUGAGUCUACUGAAGAUCCUCCAAGUGCCGAGGAAAUAAAGACAUUGGAGGAUGCCCUUAAUAUUUUCAGAAAUGUUACCACUGUAAAGAGCACUUCCAAAAUCUCCUUUUCACAUAUUCUCUGUGAAGUUAUGCAACACAAAGGCUUCAAAGCAAUCUCCCAAGUUUCCCAGAAAAUAAAUACAUCUGAUUUGAAAAAUCUUACAUCGGCAAGAUUGUGCAAAUAUUAUUCGUACUAGUUAGUUCUUAAAUAAAUAAAUAAGUAAAGUCCCAGAAGAUCUUUUUAAAUGUCAUUUCAAACGCUACAAAUAGAACUGUGACAUGGCAUGGCAAGGCUGACUGUUUUACUUGUACUGUUUUACUGUUUCAUAUUCUGAGCAAACAGAGAGGCUAUUUUCCCCCAAAGAGUUCAGGAGGGCAUAUGAUUUCAUUUCUUCAGAAAAUUGUUUCUCGGGAUUUCAAUCUUCUUAGCUGGAGAUGACAAAACAUAAUAUCAGAAACAUUUAUGCUUCUUAUUUACUAUAUUUUCAAAGCAUAAAUAAAAGCUCAGUAUACAUUUAAAACAGGUGGAUUCCAACUUAGGGAUAAAUCACAUACAUAUUGCAAAAUAGUUUUUAU